rnacentral:rRNA from 1 species
ACGGGAGGUAGCAGUGGGGGAUAUUGCACAAUGGGGGAAACCCUGAUGCAGCGACGCCGCGUGAGUGAUGAAGUAUUUCGGUAUGUAAAGCUCUAUCAGCAGGGAAGAAAAUGACGGUACCUAACUAAGAAGCACCGGCUAAAUACGUGCCAGCAGCCGCGGUAAUACGUAUGGUGCAAGCGUUAUCCGGAUUUACUGGGUGUAAAGGGAGUGUAGGUGGUUUGGCAAGCCAGAAGUGAAAACCCGGGGCUCAACCCCGUGGAUUGCUUUUGGAACUGUUAGACUAGAGUGCAGGAGGGGUAAGCGGAAUUCCCAGUGUAGCGGUGAGAUGCGUAGAUAUUGGGAAGAACACCAGUGGCGAAGGCGACUUACUGGACUGUAACUGACACUGAGGCUCGAAAGCGUGGGGAGCAAACAGGAUUAGAUACCCUGGUA